CUGAUCAAGCGGCGAUAUGCGGCAGCAAGCGACGACGUAAGCAAAGGCAGGCGGGCGAUUGCCGGUGGCAGCAGCACCGGCGACAGCGACAGCGACAGCAUAAGCCCCACAAAGCGCCAAGCGUUAACUUUUUCGUCUGCGUCUGCUAGCGAUUCAGUCUUUCUUCAAUUGCGAGCGCGUGAAAACGUCCGAAUAGGAGUUAAGUUAUUUUUUGUUAGUGAAUAGCGGAACAUAUUUUUGUGUAAUUUAUGAUUUUCGAACGCGAACUACAUAUUCGUUUAGUGAAUAUACACAUGAGUGCAUAUAUGCAUGUAAAAUAUUUAAUAUAUUGACAAACGUUUUUAUAUAAGGUUCAACUGCGCUGAAAUAAUUGAUUUGGGCCACGUGUGUGUGUUGUGGAAGUGUGAACUGAUAAAUAAACAAAUAUAUUUACAUACUUAUGUACAUACAUAUAUAGCAACCAAUGUGUUCCGAGAGAUAAUAAAAAAGUGUGUAUUUCUUUAUUUGAAUGCCAGUUAUAGGUAUCGAAGAAUAAAUAACUCCAAUCGUUCACAGAUAACAAGUAGACAAAACUGAAAUGUUUCUAGUUAAAAAUUAAAAAUAUUUGAAAAAGUGAUUUGUGAGAUUUUGGAAAAUUAAACGAAUAUAAAUCGAUAGGAACGUACUUACAUACAUACUAAAACACUGAGCGUAAUUCAUUGAGAGGAGUACAACCUAAAAAUGUAUCUUUGACUUGUUUUAAGUGUUAAAUAUUCGUCAGCCCCUUACACACAUUUUUAUU